CCGCUGAAUUUAAGCAUAUCAGUAAGCGGAGGAAAAGAAACUAACAAGGAUUCCCUUAGUAGUGGCGAACGAACAGGGAACAGCCCAUAACCGAAUCCCUUGGUGUCAUGCCAACGGGAAAUGUGGUGUUGGGGUAGUUUCUUGUUGUGCAUAUGACGAUUCUAAGUCCACGUGAUUGUGGCGCUCUGCCCAGAGAGGGUGUAAGGCCCGUAAGAAUUGUUUGUGUACAACUCGAACACUACUCAAGAGUCGGAUUGUUUGGGAAUGCAGUCCUAAGACGGUGGUAAACUCCAUCGAAGGCUAAAUACAACACGAGACCGAUAGCAAACAAGUACAGUGAUGGAAAGUUGAAAAGAACUUUGAAGAGAGAGUUCAAUAGUGCGUGAAACCGCUUAGAGGUAAACGGGUGGAGCCGAAGUUGGUGUGGUGGUUGAUGCCUUUUGUUGCAUUUCUGGCGGCGCUUUGAUCCCCAUGGACAAUUGUGCUGCUGGAAAAGCGUGACAAUUGGUUGUUUUCCCCAUGCCGUCACCACGAUCGGCACACACUGUCUGUCUGCUGUAAUGAGUCAGGUAAGGUCCUACUCCGAAAGGAGUGCUCCUGUUAUAGACCAUGGCGCGGAUUUGAUGGUGUGCUGAGUAUGGCGACGCAAGCUUUAUGGCGCACAUGUUGGGAUGCUUGGGCGUUUUUCGGCUGUGACUUAUUUAAGUUGCAAUUGGAAAAUUGUUCAUGCUGUUCUGGCCUCUGUGUAUUGUGUCAACAAUCUGUGGUGUAAUGUAGGUCAUCCACCUGACCCGUCUUGAAACACGGACCAUGGAGUUUAACAUGUGUGCAAGUCAUUAGGCUCUACGAAACCUAAAGGCGCAGUGAAAGUAAAGACUUGCAUUUGUAAGUUGAGGUGGGAUUUUUGCUCCCUCGGGAGUGGAACGCACCACCUGCUCGUCUCAUGCUUUUUAAGCGGGGCGAAGCAAGAGCAUACAUGUUGAGACCCGAAAGAUGGUGAACUAUGCUUGCGUAGGUUGAAGCCAGAGGAAACUCUGGUGGAGGACCGAAGCGGUUCUGACGUGCAAAUCGAUCGUCGAACGUGAGCAUAGGGGCGAAAGACUAAUCGAACUAUCUAGUAGCUGGUUCCCUCCGAAGUUUCCCUCAGGAUAGCUGGCACUCAGUAUGAAACAAUUUUAUCCGGUAAAGCGAAUGAUUAGAAGUAUUGGGGACGAACUGUUCUCAACUUAUUCUCAAACUUUAAAUGGGUGAGAUGAUGGACUCACUUAAUUGGAGUUUGUCAUCGAAUGUGAGUGGCUAGUGGGCCAUUUUUGGUAAGCAGAACUGGCGAUGCGGGAUGAACCGAACGAGGCGGGUAAGGUGCCUAACAAAACGCUCAUGAGAUACCACAAAAGGUGUUGGUUCAUAUAGACAGCAGGACGGUGGUCAUGGAAGUUGAAAUCCGCUAAGGAGUGUGUAACAACUCACCUGCCGAAUGAACCAGCCCUGAAAAUGGAUGGCGCUUGAGCGUUUGACCUAACCCGCGCUGCUAAUGCAAGUUGGCCUGAAUGCAUUAGCAUGUAGGAGGGCUAUAUGGUAAACAUUGAAGCUACACUCGUGAGAGUGGGUGGAGUUGCCAUAUGCGCAGAUCAUGGUGGUAGUAGCAAAUAUUCAAGUGAGAUCCUUGAAGACUGAAGUG
rnacentral:rRNA from 1 species